UACGGGGGGGGCAAGCGUUGUUCGGAAUUACUGGGCGUAAAGGGCGUGUAGGCGGCCCACUAAGUCCGACGUGAAAUCCCUAGGCUUAACCUAGGAACUGCGUCGGAUACUGGAUGGCUUGAAUCCGGGAGAGGGAUGCGGAAUUCCAGGUGUAGCGGUGAAAUGCGUAGAUAUCUGGAGGAACACCGGUGGCGAAGGCGGCAUCCUGGACCGGUAUUGACGCUGAAGCGCGGAAGCCAGGGGAGCAAACGGG
rnacentral:rRNA from 1 species